rnacentral:tRNA from 1 species
GGGCUUAUAGUGUAACGGAUAGCAUACCUGACUUCGGAUCAGUUGGUAGGGGUUCGAAUCCUCUUAGGCCUA